ensembl:lncRNA
AGUGUUCCUGUGAUUGACACACAGAUGUGGGCAAUAGAGACAGCUGGAGGCACUUGGCUUGGAUCCCUCUUGCUCAGCACUACCAUUAUACAUAAAGUUGCUCUGACUCUCACUGACCUGUCAUAUCUGCUUUGGUGCUCUACUACUAAAAAGAAAAAGGCUUGCAGGCUGUCCUGGGGGAGCUGCUUUGAUGCCACGGUGCAUUGGUCUUGCUGCCCAUUUCAAAAAUGAAAAGACCCAGCUUGCUUACUCCAGCUCAACAAAGAGAUUAGUCCACCAAACAUGAGGAAAUCACGACUUGCCAGUAACUACAUCUGAAGGGUCUGAAUUAUCAGCCAAAGCCUUCUUAACUUAAAAUCUGCUAUCUGCUGCAUAUGGUGCCUAAAUACCAAAGGAACAGAGCACUUUUAAAUCCUUGGCAUGGCUGUUGUUAAAAGAUAAUUUUACCAAAAAAAAGUAAAAUCAUGGCUCUCAUACAGAUAUGAACACAUGCUAAAGACUUUGUUUAACUCAUUAAUGAGGGAACUGAUGAAGUCUUACAUAACCAAUUUGAGAAAGAAUUCAAGAAAAAAAGGACAGGAAUAUUGAAAUGGAUUUGCAAAUGAAAACAAACUGGCCUCUUUCAAAGUUUGUGUGUGGGGGGGAGGGGACCGUUGGAUAUCCAAUGGAUAGAAUUUACAUGUCUAUGGACAAGAAUUAUUUUGCAUGCUAUCAGUUUUCUACAGUUUACAGAGUUGUAAAAUUGCUCAAAAACAGUGAAAAACUAGAAUCAGGUAUAAUGGAGGGAUGUGAUCCAAACAAUGUAUAGUUUUCUGUUCAAAGAUUUUUGUUCUGCGCUGUGCUGGGGGAGAUGGCCCAGGUCUUGGCAAACUAAGCGGUGGGCUAAAAGCCAUAGGCUCCUUGCUGUCAGGGCUCCUUGAUCCUGAACCGGCCAACUUACAGAAACCAUUUCUUGAACUUUGUUUUAGGAUGCCUUCAGCCUGCUGCUGGAUUCAUUUUUUCGCCUCUGUUCCUUUGAAAUGGCACUAUUUGUUCAUAUGACAAUUGCAGUGUCAUGGCAAAAAAAAACAGAAGAUGAGAUUAGCCACCUCACGGUAAAAAUGAGGCGCUAAAAAGUCGCUUUUUCCCAAAUUCAGUUUUCACUCUAGAUUCCUUUUCCCCAAAGAAAGAGAAUACACCAAGGUGCCCCUUGCUCCCACACCAUAAAGCCCAGCUUGCCACAACAGUUUGCUUUUGAUUUGGUAAACUUGCCUUCAGUCUUCUAUUUGACAUAUUUUCUCUUUUUCUUUUCAGUAUAUUUCAUUCACUGAGCAUAUCUGCAGAGAAGCCUGAUACACACACACGCGCACACACACACACGCGCCAUACCCACCCACAUCAUUACACACACCCCUUAGGAAUUAAAUCUUCAAGUUUACCUCCAAACUAUGUUUUAAUCCAUUCAAUUAUUCAUGCUAAAGGAAAGCAGCAGAGGCAUGGCUAAUCCAAAAUGCUAUGUAAUACUCAAAUCAUGUAAUGUGGCUUUGGAGUAUGUUUUUAUGCUGAUGUUUGAAAUCAGAUGUGCCUUAUGGAAGAGGGCAUUAUAGAGAAAAUUUACUAGAAAGAAACCCUUAAAAACUCAAAAAUAUGGUCCUACCUCAACUAGGUUUGUGACCAAGCUGAAUUCAGUUUAUCUUUCAGCCUCACUUUCCAACUCUAUAAAGUGAAGCAUUUGAACAAAGUGAUCUCUGAAGCUCCUUUCAGCUCUGGAAACUUCAGGAUAUUCUAGGGAUGGGCUUUAAGCCAACAAUAAGGCAAAAAAGCAAGUCAAACUGUAACUCAAGGGGGUGCUGAGAAGCUAUUCAAUUUCCCAUCUUGACCUUCUGUUUAACUCUUCCCUGUGACCAUCCUGUUGAGGGUAGAC